UCUUGGUGUGCUCUUGCCACGCCGAGACAAGAGUCAUAUCAGUGGAGAUUUUCUUUCCUGGGACACGGUUGCGCUGAACUAUCUGAGAUGCCUUUUCAUCUAAUUGAAUUUCAGGCAAGCGAGGACAUUGCUGUUGUGCCAGUUGACUGGUAUGAUGACGUGAUGGUGUACUGGCCCAGCUGAACGUGUGAAACGGGCAGCUGCUAACGAGGAGAAGCAUGAGCCAAACUGGCCAAGAUAUGACGUAAAGGUCGUCAGAACUUGUGACAACUACAAAGACGCCAUCAGGCUAAUGAAUCAAUAUCAGACCGGUUACAACGCCUCUGAGCUACAGUCUGAGGCAGAGCAGGAGGGAUAGCUGCCAGAGAAAUAAGUCAGGAAGCCAAUCCAUCGUUUUGGGGACUCUGAUGAGAGUGAAGAAGAGUUUCCCCUAGGACAAUUGGAGGCAGUGGAGGCAUUUGAAAUGUUUUUAAAGGAACCGUCAAAUGGCCCAGCUCGACAGAGCGUGGUGCUGUGAGGAAAAACACAGUGACACGGUCAGCCACGGACGCAGAGGUCACCAAGCACGCAAUCAGGUGGUUCAACCUGGCAGCGGAUCGGGCAACGAGGAGACGUGUCCCGCCUCAAGCCACACAAACGGAGUAAUAGGAGAAAUAAGCAAUAGACAAUAUUUUUAUUGAACUUCUUGUCGUUCACCAGUUAUUAAUUUUCUGAUAUUUUAGCUGUGCAUUUCAUUGAAGUUUUAGCCUAAUGGAUAAAAUAUUUUAUGUCUGCACCGACCUGGGCCUAUAAAGCACUAAAUUAGGUUUUGACCACAAAAUGAAUGUAAAGCAGCUUAGCCAACGUAGGCUACUUAACAAAAACGGAAUAGAAAGAACUUGUAACUUUCCAUAAAUGUAAAUGACAAUUUUAUAUUUCCAUUAAGUAGUGAUUACUUUUGUACAGUG